GUGCCAGCCGCCGCGGUAAUACCGGCAGCCCGAGUGAUGGCCGAUCUUAUUGGGCCUAAAGCGUCCGUAGCUGGCUGCGCAAGUCCGUCGGGAAAUCCACUCGCCCAACGAGUGGGCGUCCGACGGAAACUGCACAGCUUGGGACCGGAAGGCUCGAAGGGUACGGCCGGGGUAGGAGUGAAAUCCUGUAAUCCCGUCUGGACCACCGAUGGCGAAAGCACUCUGAGAAGACGGCUUCGACAGUGAGGGACGAAAGCUCGGGUCUCAAACCGGAUUAGAAACCCAUGUAGUCC
rnacentral:rRNA from 1 species